rnacentral:rRNA from 1 species
AACGAACGCUGGCGGCAUGCCUAACACAUGCAAGUCGAACGAAGCCUUCGGGCUUAGUGGCGCACGGGUGCGUAACGCGUGGGAAUCUGCCCUUGGGUUCGGAAUAACAGUUAGAAAUGACUGCUAAUACCGGAUGAUGUCUUCGGACCAAAGAUUUAUCGCCCAAGGAUGAGCCCGCGUAGGAUUAGGUAGUUGGUGGGGUAAUGGCCCACCAAGCCGACGAUCCUUAGCUGGUCUGAGAGGAUGAUCAGCCACACUGGGACUGAGACACGGCCCAGACUCCUACGGGAGGCAGCAGUGGGGAAUAUUGGACAAUGGGCGAAAGCCUGAUCCAGCAAUGCCGCGUGAGUGACGAAGGCCUUAGGGUUGUAAAGCUCUUUUACCAGGGAUGAUAAUGACAGUACCUGGAGAAUAAGCUCCGGCUAACUCCGUGCCAGCAGCCGCAGUAACAC